UACGGGGGGGGCAAGCGUUGUUCGGAAUUACUGGGCGUAAAGGGCUUGUAGGUGGCCAACUAAGUCAGACGUGAAAUCCCUCGGCUUAACCGGGGAACUGCGUCUGAUACUGGAUGGCUUGAGUUCGGGAGAGGGAUGCGGAAUUCCAGGUGUAGCGGUGAAAUGCGUAGAUAUCUGGAGGAACACCGAUGGCGAAGGCAGCCCCCUGGGCCAACACUGACGCUCAGGCACGAAAGCGUGGGGAGCAAACAGG
rnacentral:rRNA from 1 species